UAGCAAAUUAAUAUACCCGCAAAGAUGCUAUGAGACAGAGCAGAUGGUGACUCUCAAGCUGGCUAGGGUCUGGUGGAUGGGACCAGGCAAGGUGAGAGCAAUGAGUGGUGCCAGGCAUGUCAUGGGACCAGGUUGGAUCCUUAUGCAGCACCUCUGUUUCCUUCUCUGCUCACGUCUGGCAAGGAAGGGACUAGGAGGUUAGAUUAGAAAAGGAGGUUUGAGUUAGCCUCUGAAAAGCCUGAAAGUACGGGUAGCUACAUCCCCAUUUGCUGAAGGUCCAUCUUACUACAAGGGAGGGGAGUUCUACAGGGAUGUUAAAGAGUGGAAGGUUUCUUGCUCCCAGCCCAACCAGCCUGGGAUGGUUUUUAGUUUGUAGAAUUUUCCAUCUAACACAAUUUCCCAGUACACUGGAUCCUCAUACUCAACCAACACACUCCCUGUUGCUUUUAAUCCACAGGCCAGAACAAAUCAUAAUCAUGCUUUUAAAGGCAUAACCAUACCAAUACCAUACCAAUAGGUAUAGAACAUAUGCCGGCACUGUCUUAUUUUCUACUUCUGAGGCUUUUCCUCUUUAAUUGUGAAUUUAUGACUGUUUAAUUGAUAACUAAAUGCCCGGAAGUCUGAUAUCAAGAUAAGUAAGAUUUUAUUUUAAUCAGAAAAUAAUUCCUUUCAAAUUUACCAUCUGAAAAGCAUGCAGGUCUUAUCCCUUGGGAGCUAAUUAUGGUACCUUCAUGAUGAUGAGAAUGGCAGCUCAGCUUGACCCAGGAAACAGAUCAUGCCCUAGAAUUUUAUUUGAUAUUUGAAAAAGCAAACACGUACUGGAGGGGAGAAUAUAACUGUAACCAAGAAAGGAGAUUUUACUAUGUUUGUGCAGUGGAGGACAUUGGAGAGCAGAGAAAGAAGAGGAAAAUGGAGGGAAGAAUUGAGAAAACAUUUUGGAAUGUUGUAUGCAUGGUCAAAAGAGGUCAAAAGUUAAAGAACCCAGAUGGUGCAUCAGAAUGGCAUUACCACUAGCUCUCUCAAGCCCUCCCCCCCCACCCCCCACUUCAAACCCAAAUCUCUUCUCUUAAGAAUAAUGAAAAUGUUAUACUGAUGACAUGGAUGAAUACUAAUCCAUGUGAAAUAUCAAUUUUGUAAAGACAAUUUAGAAAUAAAAAUUUUUCUAUCCAAAUUCCUCAUUCCUGUGGCUAGUCAAACUUUCCCUAGAUUUAAAUAAUAGCAAAGGAGAGAGCAAUAUUUAUAGUUGACUUUGUCAUUGUGGGAACACAAGCAACCUCAGCCUGAAGGAUGCUGAGACUUCAGAGGCAACCAGGCAAAGAAAGGAGCAUAUGUUAGGACAAGCUGGCAUAAGAGAACUGGAGAGAAAUGUAAACCAGGCUACUUGUGGUUGUCUUUGCAAAGGCAUUUAGAUUUUAAGUCGUUUUUUAUUGCAGCUAGCAUCCAAUUACAGUGACGUGGCCAUGGGAGCUUAAGGACCAAGCACUGCCACUUUAUUUUUUUAUUGUUGCCUAUAUGUUAUAAAAUGGGUGAGUUUAAUGCCUAGAUCUUUGAGUAUAUGAUUUGUUCUGGAGGCAUGAUAAUCUCACAUCCUUUCAUAAAUGCCAUCUAGUCAUCCUCAUGUGGGCGCUCAGUGAAAGUCUAUAACAUUAUAAGAAAUGGAGUUAAAUAAAAUGCAUUUGAAUUUUAAAAGCUGCCCUUUAUUGCCCAUGAAAUACCCAGAGGUCUCCUUUUAGCACAAGAAGUCUCUUUUACACUUACAGACAAUGGUAGCUAUUGCAGACCAUUAUAGAGUUAAGUUAGCACUUAGGUAAAAUUUGGUCAUUUUAUAAAAUCCUAAGGAGUCUAUGAUGUUUCCGGUUGUCAGAAAAGGUUCUGAAAAGUUAUCUAUGCUGCUGACACCAUGCACGUAAAAUUAGGUCCUGAAAUGUAGCUUGGACUCGUUGCAAACUGAAAUCUUUUCAAAGGUGAAAACACAGGAAGAAGGGAUCAAAUCAAAGAGUAACCAAAUUUGACAACUGCCACAAAGAGAAAAAUGGGAAAAGAAAUGACACUUUGUGUUUGAUCUUGAUCAUAACAUGGAGAAGUUUCCUCCUAAAAAAAGUGGCUUGAAUUCCCCCCUUUAAUUGAUUGGCAAAUAGACAAUGCUACACCUGUAAGCAGUCAGGUAAUAAGAGCAAUUAAAAAUCAACCCUUCCAUUUAAAUAAGACCUUAUCAAAACUUGCUACCAGAACUUCCCUUUUGAAACAAUUCUUUUCAAAGGUUAAUUUCAACUGACAGUUGGAUAUUUAGCAUUCCUUUGUGGAAGUCAUUUCAAUUAA